GCCUAACACAUGCAAGUCGAGCGAGAAGCUUAUGAUUGAAUCUUCGGAUGACUGAAUAAGUGGAAAGCGGCGGACGGGUGAGUAACGCGUGGGUAUCCUGCCCCAUACAAAGGGAUAGCCACUGGAAACGGUGAUUAAUACCAUAUGAGAUCGUAGAGUCGCAUGACUUAGCGGUUAAAGAUUUAUCGGUAUGGGAUGGACCCGCGUCUGAUUAGCUAGUUGGUAAGGUAACGGCUUACCAAGGCGACGAUCAGUAGCCGACCUGAGAGGGCGAUCGGCCACACUGGAACUGAGACACGGUCCAGACUCCUACGGGAGGCAGCAGUGGGGAAUAUUGCACAAUGGGCGCAAGCCUGAUGCAGCAACGCCGCGUGAGCGAUGAAGGCCUUCGGGUCGUAAAGCUCUGUCCUCAAGGAAGAAUAAAUGACGGUACUUGAGGAGGAAGCCCCGGCUAACUACGUGCCAGCAGCCGCGGUAAUACGUAGGGGGCAAGCGUUAUCCGGAAUCACUGGGCGUAAAGGGUGCGUAGGCGGUUUUUCAAGUCAGAAGUGAAAGGCUAUGGCUCAACCAUAGUAAGCUUUUGAAACUGUAAAACUUGAGUGC
rnacentral:rRNA from 1 species